UAUGUCAAGCCAUACAUUUUCAGUUUUGGCGGACCAUCUCUGUUCACCCCAUUUGGCCUGGCAUUCAGCAGCAUCUGAUCAUAAGCGUUGGGAUCAUAUCUGGGAAGUGCAUUUUCACCUGCAACCUCAAUGCUUUCUCUCCAGCUACCACUUAAGACCUGCACAUAAAAAUUGUGCACCAUGUCAAAGCCACAAAAUGCUGUAUUUGCUUCUUCCAGGAUCUGGUCACCAUGGAUCAACAGCUUGUUUGAAUACCAAGUCAAGAAGAAUUUUCCACUUUCAGUAAGAGAUCCUUCCAAAGGCUGUGAGUAAUUCAGUUCUGCAUGGGGAUGCACAAUCUUCUUCUGCAGCAUAUUGCAGAGAUAAUCUUACAUCUUCAUGGAAUUGAUUUAUUCAAGAUAGUAUGAAACAUUGAAAAUAAUGGACACUAGUUGAAGUAGGGGAAUGCCUUGGUGGCUAGUUGGUGCAUCAACUUCACGGAGAAAGAUUUGCUAAACAGGAUCGGUAUAAGGUAGCUACUAUACACCUUAAUGUAGAGGUGCAAUGUGGCCUUUCUUGACUUUAAUAGUGGUUGGAAAGCUAGAUCGGUUGAGAGAUCUAUUUGGGGAUAAGCCUACUUUAGAUUGAAGCAAGCGCUUGCAUCUUGCUCAGGGAGCUCACCGUGGACUUUGUAUGAGCAGUGUAAUUCAAAAAUUAUUCAUAGAUGUGAAGGCUGCCAACAUCACACUGCACAUAUUGCUCAGGGAGCUCGCCGUGGAGUAUGCAAUUUGUCGCUCAUUACUCAUUGUUAGUGAGGAGGAAAAGUUUAUAGCAUUAGUGAACAAUUUUAUAAGCUUUCUCUGUAACAUACAAUCAUAAUACAUAGUGAUUAAACGUUGUGAUACAAAGUGUUAAUGUCCACCUCAGAUAAUAACAAACAAAUUGAACACAUUGGGAGAAAGAAGAUCCAAUAGCAGCUCAUAACCA